AUUGAACGCUGGCGGCAGGUCUAACACAUGCAAGUCGAACGAGUGGCGCACGGGUGAGUAAUGUCUGGGAAACUGCCUGAUGGAGGGGGAUAACUAUUGGAAACGGUAGCUACUACCGCAUACCAUCGGAUGAACCCAUAGUGGAUUAGCUAGUAGGCGAGGUAACGGCUCACCUAGGCGACGAUCCCUAGCUGGUCUGAGAGGAUGAUCGGCCACACUGGGUCUGAGAGACGGCCCAGACUCCUACGGGAGGCAGCAGUGGGUAAUAUUGCACAAUGGGCGCAAGCCUGAUGCAGCCAUGCCGCGUGUAUGAAGAAGGCCCUAGGGUUGUAAAGUACUUUCAGUCGGGAGGCGUUACCGACAGAAGAAGCGCCGGCUAACUCCGUGCCAGCAGCCGCGGUAAUUC
rnacentral:rRNA from 1 species